GGGUAGCUGUGACCUGGGGCUCUGCGGCACCCGGAGCUGCUGGUGGUGCAUCGGAGGAAGAAACAUCUUGCCAAGACACUUAUUGCAGUUGCCCCUUUGAAUUCAGCCAUGUGAAAUAGCAACCAUCAUCUGGAGGGUCAUCUGCAAGGGCUGGAGGCCAGUUCCUCUCUGCACACUGCUCAGGCAUCCCGUACCCUCUGCUGCGAAGUAGCUGUCGCAAGCAGCAAAGAGACGGCUUUAUUUCCCGAUGCAUGCGGCGGAAGAAGCUGUGGGACGAUCAUUUGGUGGUUUAGGAGACCCCAGAAUCCCACUGGCUUUCUUCAGGACACCAGGAUCGGCAGAGCUGGAUGGGUUCUUCGUUGAUCGCAUCCUUCCUGCGCACUGCUGGCAUGUUACAGAGAUCUCCGGAGCUCCGCCAAGGCUGCCUACAGCAGUCUGGACUUUUCACUUGUCCUGGAGAGCUGAUGUCAGUGAUUCCAAGGCCACGGUGACAGACCAGCUCUGUGCCAUACCUGUCUGUGUGGUUGAGGUUUCAGCGCUUCCAGGAGUGUCUGCCCACUGGACUGGCACUGCUCUGCUGAGAAUGGUUCGUGCUGAAGGAAGACCUUGGAAGUGCCACAUGCGGGAUAAAAUGAUUUCGCUAAAUACUAUAUUUGGCACCAGCUUUUCAUCUAAACCAGAGCCGCUUUACACCUGUCUGGCAAGAUAAAGGGACUUAAAAUGAGCGUGAGUGUGAUUUUAUGCCUGAAUGGUAUACAAAGACCUCAGCAUAGAUGAAUACCAGUGCUUCAAAGCUUUUGCUGAAUGUUUUUCUACCACCUAUAGCACUGUCAGGCUAUUUUAUUUUCAAGGUACGGUGGUAUCACUGAGCAGACCAUUUGAAGGCUGUUCUACUUGCUUUAAGGAGGAAUGGACAGACGGGUAUAUGCUGCUAUCCCCCGCUGGAUGAGCUUAACUGUUUUCUGGGACAUGUAUUCCUACCCACGGGAGACUUUUUUUUUUGCUACUUUUCUAGUCUGUUGCAAUAAGAGCAUCUAAAUCAUGUCCUUGGCUGAUACUUUGGUACUUUCUACGUUGAGGCUACUGCUGUGUCAUACCCAGACCACCGCUGUCCUUCCUCCCACCCAAACACCAUAACCAGGGGAAGGCUGUUAUGGCGAGUCCAUCCUUACGAGGAUUUGGUCGGUGGCUGAUCUGAUAAGCAUUCCAGGGUGGAGUAAAACUGACAGAUUUGAAUUUGCCAGUAUUGUAGUGAAAAAUAGCUUGCCUAAAGAAAUGAGGCUGUCAGAUUGGCACCAGUCAGCUACAUCUGAAGUACU